GGGUUGUGAGGUUAAGCGACUAAGCGUACACGGUGGAUGCCCUGGCAGUCAGAGGCGAUGAAGGACGUGCUAAUCUGCGAAAAGCGCCGGCGAGGUGAUAUGAACCCUUGACCCGGCGAUGUCCGAAUGGGGAAACCCAGUGCAAUCCGUUGCACUAUCGUUAACUGAAUACAUAGGUUAACGAGGCGAACCGGGGGAACUGAAACAUCUAAGUACCCCGAGGAAAAGAAAUCAACCGAGAUUCCCCCAGUAGCGGCGAGCGAACGGGGAGCAGCCCGGAGUCUGAAUCAGCUUGUGUGUUAGUGGAACGGUCUGGAAAGUCCGACGGUACAGGGUGAUAGUCCCGUACACGAAAGCACACAUGCUGUGAACUCGAAGAGUAGGGCGGGACACGUGGUAUCCUGUCUGAAUAUGGGGGGACCAUCCUCCAAGGCUAAAUACUCCUGACUGACCGAUAGUGAACCAGUACCGUGAGGGAAAGGCGAAAAGAACCCCGGCGAGGGGAGUGAAAAAGAACCUGAAACCGUGUACGUACAAGCAGUGGGAGCCUCUUUAUGGGGUGACUGCGUACCUUUUGUAUAAUGGGUCAGCGACUUAUAUUCUGUAGCAAGGUUAACCGUAUAGGGGAGCCGAAGGGAAACCGAGUCUUAACUGGGCGUUAAGUUGCAGGGUAUAGACCCGAAACCCGGUGAUCUAGCCAUGGGCAGGUUGAAGGUUGGGUAACACUAACUGGAGGACCGAACCGACUAAUGUUGAAAAAUUAGCGGAUGACCUGUGGCUGGGGGUGAAAGGCCAAUCAAACCGGGAGAUAGCUGGUUCUCCCCGAAAGCUAUUUAGGUAGCGCCUCGUGAACUCAUCUUCGGGGGUAGAGCACUGUUUCGGCUAGGGGGCCAUCCCGGCUUACCAACCCGAUGCAAACUACGAAUACCGAAGAAUGUUAUCACGGGAGACACACGGCGGGUGCUAACGUCCGUCGUGAAGAGGGAAACAACCCAGACCGCCAGCUAAGGUCCCAAAGUCAUGGUUAAGUGGGAAACGAUGUGGGAAGGCACAGACAGCCAGGAUGUUGGCUUAGAAGCAGCCAUCAUUUAAAGAAAGCGUAAUAGCUCACUGGUCGAGUCGGCCUGCGCGGAAGAUGUAACGGGGCUAAACCAUGCACCGAAGCUGCGGCAGCGACACUAUGUGUUGUUGGGUAGGGGAGCGUUCUGUAAGCCGUUGAAGGUGUGCUGUGAGGCAUGCUGGAGGUAUCAGAAGUGCGAAUGCUGACAUAAGUAACGAUAAAGCGGGUGAAAAGCCCGCUCGCCGGAAGACCAAGGGUUCCUGUCCAACGUUAAUCGGGGCAGGGUGAGUCGACCCCUAAGGCGAGGCCGAAAGGCGUAGUCGAUGGGAAACAGGUUAAUAUUCCUGUACUUGGUGUUACUGCGAAGGGGGGACGGAGAAGGCUAUGUCAGCCGGGCGACGGUUGUCCCGGUUUAAGCAUGUAGGCGGAGGUUCCAGGUAAAUCCGGUACCUUGUUAACGCUGAGGUGUGAUGACGAGGCACUACGGUGCUGAAGUGAUAAAUGCCCUGCUUCCAGGAAAAGCCUCUAAGCAUCAGGUAACACGAAAUCGUACCCCAAACCGACACAGGUGGUCAGGUAGAGAAUACCAAGGCGCUUGAGAGAACUCGGGUGAAGGAACUAGGCAAAAUGGUGCCGUAACUUCGGGAGAAGGCACGCUGAUGUGUAGGUGAAGCCCCUGCGGGUGGAGCUGAAAUCAGUCGAAGAUACCAGCUGGCUGCAACUGUUUAUUAAAAACACAGCACUGUGCAAACACGAAAGUGGACGUAUACGGUGUGACGCCUGCCCGGUGCCGGAAGGUUAAUUGAUGGGGUUAGCGGCAACGCGAAGCUCUUGAUCGAAGCCCCGGUAAACGGCGGCCGUAACUAUAACGGUCCUAAGGUAGCGAAAUUCCUUGUCGGGUAAGUUCCGACCUGCACGAAUGGCGUAAUGAUGGCCAGGCUGUCUCCACCCGAGACUCAGUGAAAUUGAACUCGCUGUGAAGAUGCAGUGUACCCGCGGCAAGACGGAAAGACCCCGUGAACCUUUACUAUAGCUUGACACUGAACACUGGUCCUUGAUGUGUAGGAUAGGUGGGAGGCUUUGAAGCGUGGACGCCAGUCUGCGUGGAGCCAACCUUGAAAUACCACCCUUUAAUGGCUGGUGUUCUAACGUAGACCCGUAAUCCGGGUUGCGGACAGUGUCUGGUGGGUAGUUUGACUGGGGCGGUCUCCUCCCAAAGAGUAACGGAGGAGCACGAAGGUUGGCUAAUCCUGGUCGGACAUCAGGAGGUUAGUGCAAUGGCAUAAGCCAGCUUGACUGCGAGCGUGACGGCGCGAGCAGGUGCGAAAGCAGGUCAUAGUGAUCCGGUGGUUCUGAAUGGAAGGGCCAUCGCUCAACGGAUAAAAGGUACUCCGGGGAUAACAGGCUGAUACCGCCCAAGAGUUCAUAUCGACGGCGGUGUUUGGCACCUCGAUGUCGGCUCAUCACAUCCUGGGGCUGAAGUAGGUCCCAAGGGUAUGGCUGUUCGCCAUUUAAAGUGGUACGCGAGCUGGGUUUAGAACGUCGUGAGACAGUUCGGUCCCUAUCUGCCGUGGGCGCUGGAGAAUUGAGGGGGGCUGCUCCUAGUACGAGAGGACCGGAGUGGACGCAUCACUGGUGUUCGGGUUGUCAUGCCAAUGGCACUGCCCGGUAGCUAAAUGCGGAAGAGAUAAGUGCUGAAAGCAUCUAAGCACGAAACUUGCCCCGAGAUGAGUUCUCCCUGAGACUUUAAGUCUCCUGAAGGAACGUUGAAGACGACGACGUUGAUAGGUCGGGUGUGUAAGCGCAGCGAUGCGUUGAGCUAACCGAUACUAAUGAACCGUGAGGCUUAACCUUACAACACCGAAGGUGUUU
rnacentral:rRNA from 1 species